rnacentral:pre_miRNA from 15 species
CAAGUCGUCAAUUUGGUUGUGAACUCUUAAUUUAAACGAUAUCACAGCCACUUUGAUGAGCUUGG